rnacentral:rRNA from 1 species
CAGUAGCCGCGGGAAUACAGAGGGUGCGAGCGUUAAUCGGAUUUACUGGGCGUAAAGCGUGCGUAGGCGGCUUCUUAAGUCGGAUGUGAAAUCCCUGAGCUUAACUUAGGAAUUGCAUUUGAUACUGGGAAGCUAGAGUAUGGGAGAGGAUGGUAGAAUUCCAGGUGUAGCGGUGAAAUGCGUAGAGAUCUGGAGGAAUACCGAUGGCGAAGGCAGCCAUCUGGCCUAAUACUGACGCUGAGGUACGAAAGCAUGGGGAGCAAACAGGAUUAGAUACCCCAGUAGUCCCUGUCUCUUAUAC